UACCGUCUUCCAUCGCCGCGCCAGGCCAGCGAGGCGUCAGAACCGCUGCCGGCGUACGCGAGAAGCUUCAGCACGGACAGACUUUUCAGAAAGGGCUUUUCGCGGGGAAGGAAAUCGCCUUUCUGACAGGCUCCUAACGCGUUCCCUCUCCGGCUCUCGACAGAGGGAGAUGCAGUUUCCGGGAACGCACCUUACUAGCACCGAGUACGAAGCCCGUAGCGCGGUGAGCGAGUACACAAACGCACUGUUUUGCGGUAGCAACGGCAACAACAUGCGGUUCUACGCCCAGCUGCCUAACGAUUUCAACGAUCUCUUUUUCGCCUUAUUUGCCGGCAUUUUAAGGAACUUUCCCAUCGGGUCCACCGCACGGGCAGGACUUUCAGCAUCUCAGGAGGCGCUACGCAAAUACGCGUGAAAACCGUCAUUUAGCACAUGGAGAAGAUAAAACUUUCUCCGCAGCCGGGAGCUUCGGCGGCAAGACGCAGCCGGGGAAGGCGUUGCUGCAACCGCCAGAGAGGGACUGCGGAAGGGCUGCGAGUCCCCGCGAGCACGCAGGCGGCCGCUGGGGAAGCGCAAGUCCCUCCGACGCCGUUCGCCGCGAUAAUUGGGAUUGCGUUUUCCCUGGGCCCGGCUGCCGUUCCGCAAAGUUUUCGGCCCGAGUGCUAGAAGCAAAGCGGCGCAGAGCAGCCCUGGAAUAGGAGUUGAAGGCGCAGCACUGCCCUGCACCGUCCGCGCUGCAGCUGGGGCUGCUCGGCUGCCAAGGAGCCUGAGCCUGCUGGCCUGAGGGGAAACCAUCUUCUUCUCUAUCGCACAGAAUACUAUCAAAAAAGUAGAGAAAAACACAGAUCUAAUGGAGAGGAGUUGCUUUCUGCAAGAUCCUCCAGCCUACUCCUCAGUACUUAAUAAAAAAUCUCCUCUGUACUAUGACUUUAUUACAGCUAAGUGCGCUCGCUGGGAGCUGGCACGCAGCACACAAGACGCUGCUUCUGCAGUCCUACCCCUCGCCCAUCCGACGCGCAGUCCUCAGCCCUUUCCAUCUCCCACUAAAAAUGGCUCUGCCCAUCAAAUCUCUGCAUUUACGCCAUCAUCCAUUAAACCGCAGCGCUGUAUAUUUUAUGAGAACAAAAUGGUCUUGAGUUGACUUCAUACUUCAGAUAUGGAGAGCUGUACACAUCCCUAGAGACUAUUACCGUCUUCCCUUGCUCGCACAUCACACGCAAAAGGGAAGGAAAAAGCCAUAGGCUGCACAUACGCAUUAAAUAAUCACAGGAAGCAAAUUAAUACCCAAAUCAUCAGAGAACGAAAGCGGAGAGCGUAGCUGCUCUAGGGAUGUGGAAGUACUUCAUCCACAGGCACGCCCAACGCGCCGCACCAGGCUCCUGACUGCCUCUGUGUGCUCCCCGGCCCUGCAGCACAGGCAGGACCCUCUGCGAGCAGCCUCUCCCCACCCCACAACAAGCACGACCUGACCCGUACCGGGGUUCCUCCAUGAACAGAGUGCUUCAGGAUAAGCAGUCAAUGAGUUGAAUGAUAAUUAGAAAUUACUGUUUUUCUCUCUUGCGGAGUAUUGCUAUCGCUGAUUCCUUCUCCUUUGAGAAAGAUGGGCAGGCGUUCUCUUGUGGUAAGAAUCCCACUGACUGAACUGCACAUCUCUUCACCUUGGCCAGGACCAUGCGGCAACCCCAGCAACCACCUGCCCGUGGCGGAAAGCUUGGUGCAUCGGACAGCUACAUGCACAGAAGGGUUUGAGUUCUACCUGAUAUUAGAUAGAGGUACCCCUGACAGAUUUUGACAGUCUAAUGGUGACUGUCUUUUGUCGAGCAGCCUACCUUUCUCAGAGCAAAAGGCAAACGCUGCACACGGAUCUCAUUGACUCUUUUUCCCUACAGUGUUACUACUCUCGACCGUCCACCACUAACACUUGGCCAUCUCCCUGAAGGUGAGGUUCACAGCCCCUGGCACAGCAAGACUCCACUUGGGAGCCCACUCCUCCCCACAGUGCCCACCCGCCUCAGCAGAGUUCGGCGCUGGGAACACGCCAUGAUGUCAGUUGUAAGGCACAGCGUAAGGGAUGACUGAAGGCCUCGCGUAAGUAGAGGGGAACAGACCAAACCAUGAGGACCACGCAGUGCUGCAGGUCACACAGCUCCACUCUGCACCACCUUAGCAAACAGAAUAGUGGACAACUGAGCCGCUGACCCUCGGAUGCUUCCAGGAACCCAACAGCAAGUAGCAGAGAUGAUGCACCCAUUUAUAUCUUUACUGACAUUUGCAAUAAUCUUUACUGCAGUAACUUAAUACGCUCUAAGCAUACUUAAUGGUAUCGAGUAAAUGCUCAUCACAAAUGAAUGUACAUUGAGACUAACCGUACUUCAUAAAACAAUUUUGGAAAAUAAAACAAAAGUUGCUGUCAUUCCCUACUUCACAUA